UACGGGGGGAGCAAGCGUUGUUCGGAUUUAUUGGGCGUAAAGGGCGCGUAGGCGGCCACCGCAAGUCGACUGUGAAAUCUCCGGGCUUAACCCGGAAAGGUCAGCCGAUACUGCGGGGCUAGAGUGCAGAAGGGGCAACUGGAAUUCUCGGUGUAGCGGUGAAAUGCGUAGAUAUCGAGAGGAACACCUGCGGCGAAGGCGGGUUGCUGGGCUGACACUGACGCUGAGGCGCGAAAGCUAGGGGAGCGAACGGG
rnacentral:rRNA from 1 species